AAGAGCCGAGCUGAAGUUGCUAGGCUACGUGAACUCCACACACUCAAGGGUCACGUUGAGUUGGUGGUGAAGCUGAAGGGUCUUGAUAUUGAGACAAUACAACAGCACUAUACUGUUAAAGUAAAGAUGCAGAAGAGAGAAGUGCCCGGGU